AGCCAAUUGGGGUCUUUGAGGCGAAUGCGAGGCUGGGGCCGGUUGCCUACCGGCCGCUUCUCGCCGAGGCAGUCCAGACUUUUCCCCCGGCGGUGCCCGCUCCAAGACAGCAUCUGUCAACGCUCCUCUUCUCCCCUCCUCCUCCUGCCGGGCCGGGCUCCGCCGGCUGCGGCCGAGAGGACGCGGGACCCGGCGCGGUGAGCCCAUCAGCUGUCAGGCGAGCGGCGAAGCGGCUGGAGGGCGGCGAGAGACACACAAAGAACGCGGUGGGCGGCGGCGGCGAAAGGGGACGGCAACUCCUCCCCGCGCCCGCCGGUGCCACCGCCGGCCGUGCUUGUUCCGAGGCCGCGCAGACAAUGCGGCCGGGCUCGUCCCCGCGUGCCCCAGAGUGCGGAGCGCCCGCGCUCCCCCGACCCCAACUUGACCGUCUCCCGGCUCGCCCAGCCCCCUCCCGGGGUAGGGGCGCCCCCUCCCUCCGGUGGCCGGCGAAGGAAGUCGGUCCGCGGCCGCAGAUCCCGGCAACUUGCGAACCGGGAAAAGUUUGCGGCGCCUCCGCGGGGCGGCGCGACGCGGCCCGCCCCUCGCGUCCGCGGUCAUCGCGGGUGACUUUCUCGACUCGUCGUCAGCCGGGGCCGCAGCGCGGCCGGUGGGGACUGCGGGGCGGGCCGGAGUCCGUCCGAGGGCUCCCGCACCUCGGGCUGCGGAUUUCAGGUACUCCACUGGGCAUUUUCUCUUCAUGGAGCUUAUAGCAACAAAAGUGUUUUACAAAACACCAGACAUGUUGGCAUCAUCUCUUAGUUGGGCCAUGUGGCCAGGGAACCCUUCAUGAAACCACCUCUGCAGUCCUGGAGAGUUGCUGUAGAAGAAGGAAAAGAGAGGAAGACAACACAACACAGGAGGGGAUAAGUACCUCUGGACACAAUGGAAGUAGUAGUUGUUGAGCAGAGGGAAAGGGAUAGGAGAAGGAUGUGGACUGCAGUGCUGCAGUGCCAGGUAAUAACUUUGAUCAUGUACCUCCUUGGCUCAGGUGCUGUCUCUUCUACUCUCCUCCUUACUUGUACUACCUUAUUUAGCACUUAAUUAUAUACUUUCUUGACUCACUUUGAGACACACUGAUUAUGUGGUCUGCCUCAAAGACAGAAUCCUAGUUUUGGAUUUUAGCAUUACUGAUCUAUAGCCUUGCAGGGGCUUAAGGAUGGCAGCUGUCUCUCUCCCUUGGGAUCUAGCUUUUGCAAAUAUUGAAGGGAAGAGAUUUCUUUGAUCUUAUAGGAAUAGAUCCACAGUUCCUCUCCAGAUUUGCUUUUAUAGAGAAGUGUGUGUCACCAAAACAAUGGAGAUACGGUCAGAGAGGCCCCUACCCCCAGAAUUUUAAUAUAAUUUUACUUUCUGGGGCAUUUAUUCUUGACAAAUACUUUCUCUCCUAUCAGCUCACUUGUUCCUCACAAAAACCCUAUAAGAUAUUAAUAUUAUUAAACAGACCCCUAUGAAGCACCUCAAGUCUUUCUCUCUUCCCACUUCCAUUCUUGCACACCUUUUGCUAGACUAGUCUCUGCGUUCAUCACAUCAGGUUUCUAAAAUAAAAGUCCCCUAAUAACUUUCUAUUUGUUCUCUCAUCAUAUUGAACCUUUUUUGCCUGGCUUAUAAGGUGGCCUUAAAACCCCAUUUUCCUCUAAACAUUGUCUCUGUAGUUCAGGAAUAUGGCAGGCUCAACACUAUGCUUGAGCCCAUAUUGCUUCCCUCAUUAGUGAUGCCUCCUCUCAGACCACCCAGAUUCUACUCAUUCUUCAAUUUCCAGCUUCUCCUUGGAGCCUUCCCAGAUCAUUAGCUUCUUAAAAAUCCCAGCUUUCUCUGAAUUCUGAUGGUAGCCCCCGUUAUUUGGACAAUUAUGUCCUGGUCUUAAAGUCCUAAUGGGAAAAAAAAGUACAUGAUGGACUUCAUGUAGAGAAGAAAGCACUGGACUGAGUUUUAAGACAGCUGCUAAGGAGCUGUGUGAGCCAAACCAGGUUACUUUACCUCUCUGGAUCUAUAUUUGCUGAUCUGUUAAGUGGAGACAAUUGGGUCAGAUAAUCUUGGUGGUCUUUGCUUAUUCUGAGGUUCUUGGACAACUUGGCCUAGUUCACGUGGGAUGGGAUUGAAGAUCUUACUGAGUUCUUGGAUGGAAAUGUCAGUAAUGGGCACUUAGUGCCUUCAGGACUUGUUCUAUACUAUCCCAGAAAUUUCUGAUGCUAAACUUGGCAAUUUUUAAAUGUCAUAUUCCUUUUCUCCAAACUCUUUAACCACAAGAAUUCAGGGAAGGUUAUGGGGGGUGACUUAGUUAUCUGGAUAAUACAUAUUGUGGACAAUAUAGCAUUAUCCUUGGGAAUGAUUUCAUAUUGUUGAAUAAAUAGGAUCAACUUCUUGAUAAACCUUAGUCCCAAGCAUUUCAUCUUCAUUGGAUAGUGUUACAUAGUAAUAUAUUUAUGUUUUCUUUUAAUCAUUUCAUAACUUGGAAAAUACUAACAUAGUCAAAACUCUAGGGUAGGUGAUACAUGAGUUUCUGUAGUAAUCUGGUUGGAGACAUGUUGUAAUUCUGUAUAUAUAUGUACAUUUAUCCCAUGCAUGUUAUGCCUAAACUAAGACGGAUACCCCUGAAUUAAGAGGUGCUGUUAUACAUUGACCAGGCUUAAGAAUAUCUCUUUAAAGUGUGUCGACAUUUAAUUGACCUUUGGAAGUUCAUUCUGUUAAUCAUACUCAAAGUGCUAAAGCUAUGGUUGACUGCUCUGGUGUUUUUAUAUUCAUUCGUGCUUUAGCAUAUAAAUUCUUCAGCAUAAUUGCUACUUAUUUAGCAAGAGUUUCCUUUAUUUGAAAAUGUGAGUUGUGCUUGUAUUUUUGUGUCUUUCUUUCUUUCUUUCUUUUUUUAAACUUUGCUUCAGGCUGGGUAGUGGUAGAGGUUUGAAUUAAAAUGUUUUCCUGUCAGU
rnacentral:lncRNA from 1 species